UCCCUGGUGGCUCAGAUGGUAAAGAAUCCGCCUGCAAUGCGGGAGAUCUGGGUUCGAUCCCUGGGCUGGGAA
rfam:TPA: Bos taurus chromosome 4, whole genome shotgun sequence.